rnacentral:rRNA from 1 species
UACAGAGGUCCCAAGCGUUGUUCGGAUUCACUGGGCGUAAAGGGUGCGUAGGUGGCUGGGAAAGUUUGAUGUGAAAGCUCAGGGCUUAACCCUGAAAUGGCAUUGAAUACUAUCGAGCUGGAGGUUUGGAGGGGGGACUGGAAUUCUCGGUGUAGCAGUGAAAUGCGUAGAUAUCGAGAGGAACACCAGUGGCGAAGGCGAGUCCCUGGACAACACCUGACACUGAGGCACGAAAGCUAGGGGAGCAACCAGG